rnacentral:rRNA from 1 species
CCUACGGGUGGCUGCAGUGAGGAAUAUUGGUCAAUGGGCGCGAGCCUGAACCAGCCAAGUAGCGUGAAGGAUGACUGCCCUAUGGGUUGUAAACUUCUUUUAUAAAGGAAUAAAGUGAGGCACGUGUGCCUUUUUGUAUGUACUUUAUGAAUAAGGAUCGGCUAACUCCGUGCCAGCAGCCGCGGUAAUACGGAGGAUCCGAGCGUUAUCCGGAUUUAUUGGGUUUAAAGGGAGCGUAGAUGGGUUGUUAAGUCAGUUGUGAAAGUUUGCGGCUCAACCGUACCGUGCCGUUGAAACUGUGGGACUUGAGUAUGCGCAGGGUACAUGGAAUUCGUGGUGUAGCGGUGAAAUGCUUAGAUAUCACGAAGAACUCCGAUCGCGAAGGCAUUGUACCGGAGCAAGACUGACGCUGAGGCUCGAAAGUGCGGGUAUCAAACAGGAUUAGAUACCCGUGUAGUC